GCUCCCGUUACAUCUAGCAAGAGCUUUACUUCUAUAAGCAUGUGCUGUCUCUUUAGGCUUGUGUACCUGCUUCUGUUGGAAACCUACAACACGCAGAAAAAAGAUGAUGGGAAAGUUCAGCACUGGGAAAGAUGAUGGGAAAGAUCAGCCACUGAUAUAUGCACAGCUGCCAGAGCGUUGCCCCAUAGCUUUGGAGGCAGUUUGAGGAACACAAGCUCCAUAGGUGUUAUGUAUGGAAUUAAGGCAGAAGAAUAAUAGGAGCUGGCAGAAGGGUGCGUGGGCUCAUGUUCUGUGCCUAUGCAGUGCUGGAUCUUGGUGACAGUGGAAGGAGGGAGCAGAGCAGUGCUGACCCCAUUGCAGGGACAACACUCUGUAUCUCUGGGGCUUUUGGUGUCGGCUCCCUCUCACCAAGCAUGUGUGCAUGUAUGUGUGUAAGCACUGUGUUGUGGAGACGAAGACAUAAGCAAAGGGCAAACACGGAGACCAACUUCUCCCAUUUCAGGUUUGCCUUCCAAUAAUUUUCACUGAAUCAGAGAAUGGUUUGGGUUGGAAAGGACCUCUAAGGGCCAUCUGGUCCCCCUCCAUGCACUGAGCCGGGACACCCACAGCUCCAUCAGUGCUCAGAGCACCAUCCAGCCUGACCGUGGGUGUGUGCAGGGAUGGGGCACUGCCACCUCUCUGGGCACUCUGUGCCACUCCUCCCUGCCAUCAGUGUAUUAUCGUGCCCUUAUUUUGGGGACAUUUUCCAAGAAAGCACUGCCUGUCACUGCCAACCUGGUAGCUCCUCUUCUGCCCUGCUGGGGCUGUUGGAUUUGAAUCAACUUCACGUGGAAAUUAUUUUUAACAAAUAUUUCUUAUGGAAAUAUUCUAUUUACAACAUGUGCUAAAAGCAUAAAACGUGAGAAGGCAGAUUUGGGCACUGUAUUUUUUUUUUUUUUUUUUUUCCUCAAGGACUCGGAGAAUAUUUUGCACAGUUAUUUUAAACAGCUUUUAUAUUUAGCAAGACUAAGUAUGAUACGAGAACUAAAUAAAUCAGAGCAGCAAACACAACAGAAGAAAGAGAGAAGCCACAAAGCAGGUUUUGAGCCUGUUCAAAACAUGUGGAUUUGGAAUACGUUUGCAUUUGGAAAUGCUGCAUCUCGGUAGCAGUGCAGGUGGGUGAAGGGUUUGAAGCUUUGUGCUGCUCUAACACGGCACUGAAAGCUGACAGGGAUGGAAAAUGGUGUUUUUCUGGAGGAUAAUUGGAAUUGAGGUGGAAUGGAAGCAUCACAGCGUGCUGGUCCUGGUCAGGGUUCAGGUGGGAUUUGAAGCCUUUGUACUCCUUGCGUGAUCCUGGUGGCUUUCUCCAAUCUGGCAACUGAGAGCCUAUGGCUGCAAAAUGCAAAACCCAAGAUGUUUGCAAGAUGCCCUCCAGGGCUGUUAUGGGGAUAGCAGCACCUUACAACUCACUUUUCAACAGAAGGCCAGGGAGAUGAGGUGUGGACAUCAGAGCACAGGGCAGGAUGGAGGCUGAGCACAGCAGAACUGAUGGAAAAGGAAGGGGAAGGGCUGAGAUGGGAGUGCAAUGGGAGAAGGAGCCCUGGAGUAGGUGAAGUGUUUUCUGGUGCUGAGGAAAUGACAAAUUACUGGUGAGUUUGAAAAUCAUAAAAGUAAAAA